GGCCGGUUGGCCCAAUGGUAAGGCGUCUGACUACGAAGUCCCCUUAACGGGAGAGUUGGUUAAUCAGGAGAUUCUGGGUUCGAGCCCCAGGCUGGUCA
rnacentral:tRNA from 1 species